UUUUCAUUUACCUAGAUGAGAUUGAUUAAUUUGUGUAGUUUGAUUCUUAGUUCUUUUCCACCAUAUUUGAUUUGUUCGGAUGUAAUUCUGUCAAAACCUGCCAUUUUAUUAUUUUUUAGUUUGUUAAUACUUGCCUCUACUUUCUUAAAUGAUGGCUCCUUGAUUUCUGGUUUCCCAGGUUAUGUAGUCUUUAUAUGGGAAUGUUGUCAGAGGGGCUGAGCAGUUAAAUAGUAGUUCAAAGUACUCUUUCCAUCUUUCUGAUGUUUCCCUGUCUGUAGCAAUAAUUUCUUUCUUGUUAUUGAUUAUGGCAGC
rnacentral:lncRNA from 1 species